CCAGUCUUUCACAAAAGGUCGCGAGAUAAAGACGCGCAACACGGUAAUCGAGUUUUAAUAUAUAGUCUACAUGUGAAUUUAUCCUAUUGUGCAGUACUCUUGGAAAUUAUAUUCAAGAUGAAGCUAAUAGCUGGAAUAGUAUUCGUUUGUUUUUUCCUUCUAAUUGAGGCAGGGAGAGUGCCAGACAAUUCUGAUAUCAGUAUUAGUGAUGAACUGCUUGACGAUGUAAAAAACGUUUAUAGCAAUCCGGAGAAAAGUCUCAGACGACGAAAACGACACUAUUUUCCACACUCUAGAUACUUUUUGGAACGUGGAAUGGACCGAAACUUCUACGAAUCUUACCAAGAUGAUAGAAGAAUUACAGAAUUAGAGAUAAGACUUCAAAUACAACAAGAGCAAAUUAAUGAACUUCUGUUUAGAAGAUGUGAACCCAAAGUAAUAGUCGUGCCAGUUUAUUUACCCUCAAGUGGAAACAACAACACUAGUGAUCCCUUGGGAGUUAGAUAUGGCGUGGAAGAUGAGAUUGAAAGAGAAAGACUCUGGGGCAGCGAAGAUGAUCUAAAUGGGAUGCGUCCAAUUUCGCUGAGACCUGUUAGACCUAGCCGGCCGAUGCCCAAGCAGCCACCAGUACAACACGGAACUAUUCAAGCUGAGACUAGUACCAAAGCACCUAUUAUCACUAUAUGCAAAACUGCUAUACUGAUAUGUUGUGACAAAGAAGAAGACGAGAGAAGAAAGUGUUUCUUGAACUUCAAUUGUCCAAAAGUAGCCAGUUCAGAUGCAACCUGUAGUAAAAGUAUUUUGGAUCGAAUCAAAAACGAAUUUAUAGCUGCUUAUGCACCUGAUGGAGAGUAAAAUUAAUGUAAUAUAGAUACCGAAAUCAGUAUUCUUAUAUCUUUAAGAAUUUUUUUUACUCUCGUAAAAGAUGACGUAAUCCUAAAAAAACAUUGUUGACAUUUUAAGAGCCCACGUGCAUUACAUUAUUUGCAUUUAUGAAGUCCAAGCCAGCAAUUUGUAUAUACGAAAUUCGGAUACAAUAUACAGCAAUUGAUUUCAAUUAUUAUAUGAUAUUACUGUGUAAUGUCAGAAACUGAAUUAAGUAAAAAUGUAUCUACUUAUUAUUCAUUAUAUUUAUAAAAUAAAUUAUAAGUUAUAGUAGAUUCGCAUUAGAGCGAAUGUAAAUUGUAUGUUGUAUGUGAUUGUAUGAAUGUUAGCUGCAUUUACAGUAUUGGGUUUAUUUAUGUCUUACGAGUAACUUAAUUUAAAUAAUGGCAGCAACAAAUUAUUUGAACUAUAGCUCCUUGCUAUAAAUGUGAAAAGCAAUACCAAUUUUCAUGUAUGUCUAUCUUUAAUUUUGUGAACAAUAACCAAGCAGCUAAUAUCCGUCACUGGACCGCAUUCUAACUACUAAUAGGUCCAUAUACUUCCGUUAAGUUCCUAGUCAAAAAAUAAAAUCUGUUUAAACUAAAA